GAAACCCAAUCCAACAUGCCAAUAAAUUAUUGGAAUUUCUAACUCAACACAACAGCAAUUCUACUUUGUUACAACUUCAAUUUCGAUUCUGCCGACUCCUCUCAUUUUCUCCUCUCUUCCUUUUAAUUCCUCUGGUUUUCUUCACUUAAACUACUCGAUUUCUGCAAUUCUUCUUGAAGGCCAAACAACGGAAAUAUAAGGGAAAAAAAUGGUUGCAAACGAGUUCUCGAUCAGCAUCUAAGAAUAUCAGUUCUUUCUCUAAUUCUUUCGUGAGAUGUGAACCCUAGUCACAUAGUCUGCUCAAGGAAUUUUGGUUAGACUGUUUCUUCUUCUUCACUUGAUAUUUUUCAAGUUAAAGCAUUGGUGCUUGAACUUUGAAGAUUACUGGAUCAUAUCUAGACUGUUACAAGUGAAUUGCAGUUGCUUUCUUAAUUAACUUUCAUUUUUGUUGGAAUCUCAAGAUAUGUCUACUGGACCAACGAGAAGGGUAUCAACCAAAGAUAUACAAGUGGUACAAAAUCUUAUAGAACGGUGUCUUCAAUUGUACAUGAACCAAAGAGAAGUUGUGGAAACAUUAUUAGCUCAGGCAAAGAUUGAGCCGGGUUUCACUGAGCUUGUUUGGCAAAAGCUUGAAGAAGAAAAUCGGGAAUUCUUCAAGGCAUAUUACUUAAGACUAACUGUGAAGCAACAAAUAAUAGAAUUCAACAAGCUUCUUGAGCAACAGGUGCGAUUGAUGCGUCAGAUAAAUUCAACUGGAGUUGCUUCAAUGCCUACUUCUAAUGGAUCACACAUCCCUGCAAUGCACCAGAAUUCUGCAUGCUAUGCCCCAGAGCAUGCAGGACCUUCUCUGAAGCCAGAGAACAUGCAUCAUCCUUUUGGUUCCAGUAUGACUCAUGCAUUCACCAAUGGUGGAUCAGCGCUGCACUCAAGUAUGCACACUGCUGUUGAAAUGUCUGCUCAUGCCAAUAGAAUUGAUGCCCCUCUGAACAUGCUUUCAACGCAGAGCUCAAACAUGGGUUUGAUGCAAGGAUUAAAUGGUGGAAUGAUCAAAUCUGAAGCUGGAUAUUCCGGCACUUCCCCUUAUAUGUUUGGCAGUGAUGGCAAUGUCCUGGAAGCACGCCCAUCAAUUGCAGAUGCAUCUGUUGCUUCUUUCAGCAGUGUAGAGUCUAAUUCACAAGCUCUGAACGAGCCACUUUUGGAUGCGGACACUUCUUCAUAUGGAUUUUUGGGCCAGAUUCCCCGAAACUUCAGUCUAUCUGAUUUGACAGCUGAUUUUGCUCAGAGUUCAGAUAUAUUGGAGAAUUAUCCAAGAUCACCCUUUCUAGCAUCAGACAAUGAAAACUUUCUAGAUUCUCGUGAAAGAGAACAUCAAGGAGACAGUAAAAGGUUGGACACUAUAUCAGAAGGUGUGAGCUAUGAUGAGUUUGGAAGUGAAUAACAAUGAAAUUUCAGUGUAUUGAUUCAAGGUGAAUGCCAUCAAACAAUGGUGAGAAUUUGCAGUACUUUUUCACUCUUCAAUGCAUUUUUUAGCUCUACGCCUCUUCAUCGUAUAGAUUAUGAUCCAACUGCACCCCUUGCCAGGGGUUUGUAUAUAGCAUUUUAGAGGGGAAAAAGCUUCAGAUGUGUAGAACUCUAAGGAGAUUGGUGUGUAAAAUUUCACUGACUACAGUUUGUAGUAUAUGACACUUUGACAUUAGGAUUUUUUAGGGUUAAAAAAAGGAUCAAAUAAUGCAACAGGUAUCCCUGUUUCAUUUUUUUUUUUUUUCCUUUCAAAAUUAUGACGCUAUCAUCGAAUGAUUUUUAUUAUUAUCUUGUUGAGGAAAGUGAAAACAUUUUUGUGUGGUGGUAAUGCAGUUAUUAUGUUAAUAUUGGAAAUUAUGCUUCCAUUUGAAAUGAGAUUGUGACACUUCAUGGGAUUAAACUUUCA